UACGUAGGGUGCGAGCGUUAAUCGGAAUUACUGGGCGUAAAGCGUGCGCAGGCGGUUCGUUGUGUCGGCGGUGAAAGCCCCCGGCUCAACUGGGGAGGGUCACGCGAUACUGAUCGACUCGAAGGCAGGAGAGGGAAGUGGAAUUCCCGGUGUAGUGGUGAAAUGCGUAGAUAUCGGGAGGAACACCAGUGGCGAAGGCGACUUCCUGGCCUGUUCUUGACGCUGAGGCGCGAAAGCUAGGGGAGCAAACGGG
rnacentral:rRNA from 1 species